ensembl:Y_RNA Y_RNA Y RNA
GGCUAUUCUGAAGAUAGUGAGUUACCUCAGUUGAUUGUUAACAAAGAUUGAACUCCUUAUUCUACUCUUUUCCCCCUUCUAACUACUGCACUUGAUUGGUCUUGG